rnacentral:rRNA from 1 species
AUUGAACGCUGGCGGCAUGCCUUACACAUGCAAGUCGAACGGCAGCACGGGAGCUUGCUCCUGGUGGCGAGUGGCGAACGGGUGAGUAAUACACCGGAACGUACCCAGGAGCGGGGGAUAACGUAGCGAAAGUUACGCUAAUACCGCAUCUUCUGUGAGCAGGAAAGCGGGGGAUCGCAAGUCCUCGCGCUCUUCGAGCGGCCGAUGUCGGAUUAGCUGGUUGGUGAGGUAAAAGCUCACCAAGGCGACGAUCCGUAGCAGGUCUGAGAGGAUGAUCUGCCACACUGGGACUGGGACACGGCCCAGACUCCUACGGGAGGCAGCAGUGGGGAAUUUUGGACAAUGGGGGCAACCCUGAUCCAGCCAUGCCGCGUGAGUGAAGAAGGCCUUCGGGUUGUAAAGCUCUUUCGGCGGGGAAGAAAUGGCAACGGCUAAUAUCCGUUGUUGACGACGGUACCCGCAUAAGAAGCACCGGCUAACUACGUGCCAGCAGCCGCCGUAA